UCCAGACUCCUACGGGAGGCAGCAGUGAGGAAUAUUGGUCAAUGGGCGGGAGCCUGAACCAGCCAAGUCGCGUGAGGGAAGACGGUCCUACGGAUUGUAAACCUCUUUUGCCGGGGAGCAACGGGGUCCUUGCGAGGGCCCGAUGAGAGUACCCGGAGAAAAAGCAUCGGCUAACUCCGUGCCAGCAGCCGCGGUAAUACGGAGGAUGCGAGCGUUAUCCGGAUUUAUUGGGUUUAAAGGGUGCGUAGGCGGGCUGUUAAGUCAGCGGUAAAAUGUCGGGGCUCAACCCCGGCCUGCCGUUGAAACUGGCGGGCUAGAGUGGGCGAGAAGUGCGCGGAAUGCGUGGUGUAGCGGUGAAAUGCAUAGAUAUCACGCAGAACUCCGAUUGCGAAGGCAGCGCACCGGCGCCCUACUGACGCUCAGGCACGAAAGCGUGGGUAUCGAACAGGAUUAGAUACCCCCGUA
rnacentral:rRNA from 1 species